rnacentral:lncRNA from 1 species
AUUACCACACAUAGACACAAGAGAAACCAUCAGAGAAGCGAUCCAUCAAGACCAGUUUAAAAUCGGGUAAAAAUUUGUUUUUAAAUUUCGGAUUUUAAUUUGAUGCGCUGUGAGUUGUGUUUGUACCUGUGAUGUGUGCUUAAUUUUCCUACUUUUUCCUCAAAUCUCUUGAACUAAAUCAAUUAACCCAAAGAAGAAUCGGAAAUUCUCGAGCUAAGGUUUUGAUUGAUGAAUUUGGGAAAUUUUAUUGUUUUCUAUAUGUUUCUUCUUCUUUUUUAUUUUAAAUUCAUUAAAACAAAGUGAAUUAGUUAUAAAUUUUCGAGUUAAGGUUUCGCUGGAUGAAAUUGGGGAUUUUUUUAUUUUUCGGAGAUGAAUUGAAAUCAAGAAAAUAAAUUUACUUUCUUUACUUGCUUGAAUUUUUGUUUUUACAUCAAAUACCAGUCGCGUAAUUUAUGUGCUGCAUGUAAAGCAUAUAGGAGAGUAGUAAAGACCAAAAUUAUGUUGUAAAAGGAGAAAGAAAUUCAUGUUCACACUUAAACGAAAAAAGUGUGUAUCAAAAUAUCUUUGAAGAAGUUGUAAUCGUAUUUGUUGUAAUUGUGUGAAGAGUCUUUUCCAAAAGGCAUGAUUAAGUUGUAACCAUAUGAAUCUAUUCAGCCACAUCUUUUAGAAAAGAAAUUCUUAAGGAAAAAAUAAGGGAAAAGAGAGAUAAUUUACUUAGUGUGAUGAUUUACCUUAUAAACAUGCAGUUUUUGAAAUGUUUCAAUAGGCCACUAAAAGAGUAAAAGUAGAUCCUCUAAGACCUUUAUAUGUUAGUAGUACUUCAAAGUUCUAUGUUUACGGUCUAUCAAGAAUUCCAACCAUGGCAAAAUGAUUAUACUUAUCAAAACAGAACACCAGCAUGGACACUCCAUUUUAAUGACAGAAAGGUGUUUCUUUUCUUUUAUCCUUAACUAAAUGUUCUAGAUUCGAAUUUUAGGAAUAGAGAAAUUCUUGGUAGCGAACCUUCUCUCUUUAAUUGGCUCUACGAGGCUACGAGAAUGAAAGGAUGUAUUUAAUUGGACAUAUGUAAUGCGGAUUUACAUUAGUCGAGCAGCAAUAACCAAUUUAUAAUAAUAUCUAAAGAGAGUUAAGAUACACUAAUAUUAGAUAGCUUAUAUAAGUUAAAUUGCAACAAGUAGGUGGUACAGUCGGUGAGGAUUGUCUUUGUCAUUGCUAAUUGAAUCAAUACAUCAUGCAUGUUUGUUAUUAAUGGCCAACUACAUUGUGGGAUUGUAGUUGUGCAGUUGGAAGACAGUAUUGCGUUCAAUUCGAAAGGCAUGGUUUUCACUUUUCAGUAUGUUUUUUCAUAGGAUAGCUUCCAACAGAACUUCUCUCCAUUAACAGAUAAUAAAAGUCUUUAGAUAUAAACAAGUUAUUGCUUUGUUCUAAUUCUCCGUCACAUGUAUUAGCAAAAGGAGAAAAUAAAUGAAUGCGUGAAUGAGAACCGAUUUGCCUUCCCUUUUUUCUCUCGCUAUUCACUCUGGCCUCCUCCAUAUUUCUUCCUUUUCUAAUCUCUAUUUCUUUCCUGACCGCAUGCUUCUUGAGCUUUUAGGGGUCUUUUUUUUCCUCUGUUUAUCUAAGUUGCUUGUGCUUUGAUGUGAUUCUUGCUGCAUAUUGUAGGAAAAUGUAAAUUAAUGGAAUUAGCUUUGCAGCGUGACUUACUAGCUAUCUAUCUUUGAUAUUUCUUUUUUAAUUUAGGGGCUUUACAUUUUUCAAUUUGGGACAGGUUUUAAAUUUUUUUGGAUUGAUAUAAAUUAAAGGAACUAUAUUUGUGAUUUGCAUCUAUCUAUCUAUCUAUCUCUGAACAUCCGAGAAAAAACAGUACAGCUGCAAAAGCAGGCAAUGAUCCUUUUUGAGUUGAAAUUUGACUUUGGUCUUAAGUCUUUAGGCUCCAUUAUUGCCUAUUCCAGUUUUUCUUCAAGUUUCUUCUUCACUCUGGUGAUUAGCUUUUACUUGACUUGUACAUUAUUUCCUUUUCUCUUUCAUUUCGGGGUCUAUCAUAUAUGUGAAUUUUGAGGAGUUUCUUGGUGAUAGGAUUUUGAUGAUAUGUGUUAGGUUUUUGCAGUUUCCUUCUUUGUGCUUUUGAGCUCUGUUCUAUUUGAGACUUUGAUAGUUGUUUUUCUUCUUAUUUUGGACUAUUUUGAUGGUUUUGCGAAAUUGAUGAAGGGUUCUUGUGAUUACUUUGCCUUAAUUGUUUUGGGAUGACUAUAUCAUAUGGCACCUUCAUGCUUCAUAUAUUUCCCUGAAAUUGUAUGUCGUAUGUUCGACCAAUUGGUUGAAUGACAUUGGACUAUUGGAGCCUAUUAAGGCUCCAAUGCACACUGAACGUGUAGAAGUGCAAUUUUUAGCUUUGAUAAUUGAUAAAUAUUCUGAGCUCUAAGAUAAAUAAGGAAAAUGAGUUGUGUUUGAGGGAUAUGACGCAAAGGUUUGUCAUAUCUUUGUUCCCUGAUUAUACAUGUAAAAACAUUGCACCUUGAUCUUUCAUUGUGUUGUUUCAUUAUCCUAUUUUUUCUAUCUUCAUCCUUGUAUCUGCAGAUGAAAGUAUAAUUUAAAAUUAUGUAUCUUUUUAAUCUGAAUUAUCAAUAUUAUCCAAAAAGUUAUUUUAAAACAUAAAAUUGUGCUAACAAGCUUCAGAAAUGGUAUACUAAGUACUUGUAGUGCCAAAAUGAUCAAAAUGAUCCAUCUGUUUUAGGAUGUUUUAGGAUUUCUUGCAAUUCUGUAUAUCAAUUAGAAUAGCUUUAUUAAAAAUAAUUCCAAAUAUCUUUUAGUAGUUAAUUUGCCAUGUCAAGCCUUUAAAGUUUUGAUAAUUUAAGAUUCUAUUAUUUUUGGUUUCAUACAGGCCUAUAUAUCUUUAGUAAAUUUACAAUAUCAAGACUUUCAAGUUUUGAGCUUUUUAUUUGAGCUAGAUAUGCUUUCAUUGUUUGCCGAUCUGUUCCUAUAAACAUUUUUAGUAGUUUAACUAGAUAUUUGUUGAUGCAUUGUUGCAAAGGUUAAAUAGGACAGAGCAGAACAUGAUUUGAAAAUUUUGUCUCUUUAUCAGAAUACGAUUCUCUCUCCAUGUACUGAAGAAAGAGUUGUAUCAGAUCAAAAAGCUAUAUUACUCGCCUUUGUUGAUCAAAUACAAGAGUUCUGUGUCUUAGCUUCUUGUUCCAGUUAGUCUUUCACAUGACCGAUAGCUACUCUAUCAUUGCUCGCACUUCGUUAUGGAUUGAAAUAAGUGGUAAGUAAUUUUUCUCAAUGACUUGUUAUAUUAGUAGUGUUAUCGUCUUUUUAGUACUAUUAUUUUUCUACUGAUGACACCAAUAGAGAUAACAGUGGAUAAAUGUUAUCAAUCUAAAAAAAUGAGAUAACAGUGGAUAAACAAAUAUAGCGCUACACUGCCAGACAAAACUAACUCCUAUUUUUUAUUGAAUUCAUGGCAGCUUUUAAUUGUUACUUUUUUACUUGGGAGUAGAAACUCAAAUCUAUUGUCAAAAAGAACGCCUCUAAUGUUCAUGAACAAAAGAAGCGCACAAAAAUUAAAUAUUAGCUUGACGCAUACUGAUGUAAUUUAUAAUGUUUAUAUGAGAAAUAAAAUGAGAAUGGUUGCACAUAGUUUGAUGUAAUCUAUGAUAUUUAUGUAAAAGAGAUUACAAAAGAGAAUAAUCACACAUAGCUCAAACAUUCUGUUUUCUUUUGUAAAUGAUCUAAAAGUGACAGCUGCCAAGAAAAACUUGUGGCUCUUGAUGCUUUAAAAACAUUAUAGAAAUAUAUGUAACAACUUGAACUGUCGUCGCAUGUGUUACCGCCCAUAUUUCCCGUUUUAUACUUUAUUAUGUUUCAUUAUAUGUGUUUGGAGAAAUUGAAGUAAUCAGGAUGGAGUUCGGUUAGAAAUGAGACAAUUAGUCUUUUUAUGAGAAGGUUAGUUUGGAAAAGACAACCGAAUGUUGACUUAUGAGUUAGAGGGAUCGGAAUGAAUUUUCGACGAUUUGACUAGUUUCGGGUGGUGAUUACUGAGUUAGGAGUGCAAUCAGAACUGAAUUUGGAGGUCCGGUGUAGAAUUAGGCUUGAAUUGGCUAAGGUUGAAUUUUGGCGAAGUCUGGUUGAUAGGUGAGAUUUUUAUCCGGGGGUCGGAAUGAAAUUACGACAGUUGCAGUAGCUCUAUUAGGUGAUUUUGGAUAUGCGUGCAUACUUUUAGGUCAUUCGAAGGUGUUUAGGUUGGUCUUAGAUCAAAUGCAAGUUUCGGAAGUUUUACUUUGACUUAGGCUUGAAUCCGUGCUAAUUUGAUGAUUCUGAUGUUUAUGAUUGUAUUGUUAUGCUAUGAGCAAGUUUAAAUGUGGUUUAGAACAUAUAUGUGCUUUUGGUUGAGGUCCAGAGGGCCUCGGGGUUAUUUCGGAUGGCUAACGGGAAUUUUUGAAGUUGAAGAGUGCAGCAGAAAAUUGCAGAGGAAUUUUCCUCUAUGCGGUCGUGUAGGCCUAGCUGCGAUUGCAUAGAUGGCCUGGAGGAGUCUCAGAAAUUUCUCUAUGCGAUCGCGUAAGGGGGCUUGAGAUCGCAUAGGUAUGGGGGAUUGUUCAGUGCGAUCGCGUGGGAUGUAUGCGAUCGCGUAGUAGGAUUUGAGGGCCCAGGGACUUUGUGCAUUGCGUUCGCAUUAAUUUGAAUGCAAUCGCAUAAGUCUGGCCAGUGAAGCUAGGCCUGGUAACUUUGUUCUAUGCGAUCGCAGGGGCUUGGAUGCGAUCCCAUAGAAGGAAAUAGUUGGGCAGAGAAGGGUUUUUAAUAACAUUUCAUCCGCGAACCAAACCUAUUUUCCACCAUUGUUAAGCAACCAAGUCUGAAGUCUACAACAAACAAGUGGGAGAGGCAGGAUUCGACCUACGUAGAAAAACUUUAACAGAUAUACAGUCUGCCACUUUUGACCACUCGGCCACACUCCCCUUCCCAAGCCGAGGCCCCCCUCAAUGGGUUCUAAUUCUAAGAAGGGGGGCGGCACCCUGAAUCAAUCAAAAAGCUUAUUGAUUUAAUUGAAGGGAACUAAGACGAUUAGCUUAGCUAGCGUUCCGGGAGAAUCUAGUCAUUUAGUCAGUUCAUAACUAUCUCUGUAAAGCAAGGGGUAAAGCUUCUACGAAAGCUUCCCCCUCAUGUAGUCGUCGGCCUUCCCCAGCCCCCCCUCGUCGCUUCUGGCGAAGCUGCGAGUUCAUGAGCAAGUGAAUGAAGGAGCCAUGUUCUGCUUCUACAAAAGCUUCGAGGAUCUUAAACUUCUUGAUCGUGAAAAAUCAAGUGAGCUUUCCCCCAUGACAUUUCUGUGGAACGAGCUUAGCUGCUAGGUGAAUCCCUAAAGUAGAUUAUGUCUCCGCAGCAUUGGAAUCAAUAUUUUGACUUUCCUGGUCUAUUUAAAUAACUGAAGCUAGCCGAAUACGAACUAACGGAAUACUACUUUGUUUCUGUUUUGUUUGUGGACAAAUGAUAUCCGUUCAGGUGUAUGGCUGGAUCCUUUUAGAUCUACGGGCCGGCCGGCCCCGGCCGUUUACAUGAGCAUAGGGAAUCUAUACUCGAGCGUUCCACUGGGCCCCUGACAGGAUAGGUGAGGAUUGCUUUUUGAGUGAUUUGAAGCGUGUUUUCAACGGGUAUUGAUUGGAGGUAAGUCUCUUGACUUAAAAACACCAUUUUUAUGACGAAUCAACCCGCAAAUCCAUGAAUCAUGCUGGAAUUGUGAAGAAUUAGGGCUUAGUUUUUGAAAAUAAAUUUAAGGUCUUUGAAAGGUCAUUCGAGCUCCGUUUUUGACAAACUUUAUGUGUACGGACACGUGGAGUGACGAGGAAUCCAUUGAUAUUAUUUUUGGAAUUUUUUUAGAAGUGGGCUCGGGGCUCGGUUUUUACCAACUUCGUGAUUUUCAGUAUUUUUUUGAGUAAUUUCGAUUGGGUUAUGUUUCUUAAACAUAUAAUAACCUAUCCGUUAUGGUUUUGGCUAGAUUCGACGUGCGAGGAGGUUGAUCCGAGUGGCAAGAGUGUUGCUAACUAGUUUUCGGUUGGCUAGAGGUGAGUAAUUGAUGCACUGACGUGCUGAGGGUUUGAAACCCCAGACUUUCACAUCGUAAUGCUAUAUUGAGGUGUGACACGCAUUCUACGAUGAGUGCGGGGACGGAUACAGUUGGGGAUUGAGACCUAGUCCAUCCUGAGUGAUUAUUGCUAUUAUAUUGGCGACUGAAACGCAUUCCUUGUUAUUGUGGACUGGGCUUAUUGCCAUGUUUGGGGCCAUGUACCGACUUGUGGAAUCCUUAGGGGAUCUUUAUAUGUUUUCUUCACUUGUGUGCAUCACAUAGAUUCUCAGUCACGUGUUCAAAUAAUAAAUAAAUAUAAUAACUGUGUUUUAUACAUAACUUAAAAUGAAAAAGGAUAUGAAGGCUGAGAUCCCUAUAGUAUGUCCCGUCCGAUUGAUGGUGGACUUGUUUGACUGAGAUGGGUCGGGGACCCUGUAGUGAGGGUGUUUUCCUGAUAUGGAUUGGGCUACACGUCGUAGCAAUUAUAUAUAUUCAUAUUGAGGCUGAGAGCCUGUUUUAAUAGUGAGGAUGAUUUCCUGAUAUGGAUCGGGCUACAAGCCGUAGCGAUUAUAUAUAUAUUGAUAUUGACGCUGAGAGCCUUAUUUACGCCAAUACCUGGCUGAUAUUGCACUUGGGCUGUAGGAGCCCCUCCGAAGUGUGUACACCCCAAUAAGAGUCGUCGACGUUAAAUAAGUAGAGCGGGCAGCACGCCUUAGCGGGUAUUAGAUUAUACCGUUAUGUGUAUUGUUUUUAUGCCAUGUGUUAUUCCUUAAAUAUGUUAAGUUGUUGUAUGCUGUUUCUACUGUUUGGAUAUAAAUUGCUAGAUAUAGAGUACUUUGUGCACUUAUUGUUUUUUCUUUCUUUUAGCCUUUAGUUAUAUCUAUUACCACUGAGUUGAAAGUACUCACUUUACUCCCUGCACCUUGUGUGCAGAUCCAGGACAGUCUCAGGCUGAGUGAUUCCAGCGGAUUCAGAGUUCUUUCGGGAGUAUUUGGGGUAACUGCAGGGCCUUCGCAGCCGAUGAUUCUCCCUUCUAUCUUUAUCCUUUAUUCCCGCAUUAUCAGUGUUAGACAGACUUGUAAUAGGAUAUUAUUCUGUCAAGAGAGGUUCAUGGUCGUGACACCGGGUCCUAGUUGGGUUGUUUUGGUAUUUUCUAAGAUUUUUCGUAAUUUUAUCAGUAUUUCAGACUUUGACUUAGAUGGUUUCUAUCUUUACUUGUUAAAUAAUUGGAGUAACCGUUAGAAAUGGUCGGGCUUGCCUAGUAGUGUGCUGGGCGCCAUCACAAUCGGAAUGGGUCGUGACAAGUUGGUAUCAGAGCCUAAGUUACUUGGUCUCGCGAGUCAUGAGCCGAUUUAGCAGUGUCUCGAGU